GGAAAGAAAGGAAAAACAAGAACAAAACCUAGGUGGAGGAUUUCAAGAGAAAAAGUGUGGAAAAUCAAGGAAAACAAGUGAAAAAGGUAGGAUUUUUCAAUUUAAACUUGAAAUAUAUUUUCCUUAAUCAUUUCUUCUUAUUUUUCAUGGUUAGAUUUCAUGUUUUCAUGAUGAAUUCAUGGCUGGUCAAAAUGGGUAUUGAGAGAGAAAGAUGUUGGAUUGAUUUGAUUUUAAGUUAUGUUAGUGUUUUUAGUUAGUUUAGCAUAUUUAGAAACAAAACAACAAGAAAAUAAUUCAUUUUCACCCAUCACCAUUAUUGGCCGAAUUUUCUAGGGAGGACAUUGUGGCUUAAAUUGAUGAUAUUUCAUGAUAUUUGGGUGAUAUUUGAUGUUUGGUGAGGCUAGAAAUUAAAUGAAAAAUUUCGGUGUGAAAAUCUAAAUUUUUACCUAAUGUAUAGACAUGUGUGAUUAUUGACCUGGGACUAAUGAAUUAAAUCUCAUUCAUAGUCACUGAGGUAAUUUAGGUAUAAUUAGAGUGUAGAAAGUGAGAAGAAUUGAUUUGGAGUUAAAUUGGAGAUUUUAGCCGAUUAGACCAAGUAUAGUGUGACUUAGGUCGAAUAUCACAUUUAAGAUAUUAAUUAGACAUUUUGCAUCCCAUCGCAUGCAUUCAUUUAGAUUUAGAGAGCUUGAAAUAGUUUAUAAUAAAUUGACAUAAUUUAUUGAAAUCCGUGUCACGUAUAAUGUAUAGGUGGUGAGUCCUCUAACAAAGGUAAAAAGAUUGUACUCAAAGACCGAGCAUAGGAGUAUAUCGAACUCCUAGUACUAUGAGUAACCUUACCAUCAUUUUUAUUAUCUAAAGUAUGUUUUUAUUCGGUUUUGGUGAAAUUUUAUGAAAAUGAGUUUAAAUGGUAAAUCUUUGUGUUUUACAAACAAAAUGUAUUUACAUGAAAGAAUUUUAUAAAUUGUCUUGAAAUCGAAUAAUGAUUUUGAAAAAUAGAGUAAUUGGAGACCACUUGUUAUGAAUUAAAUUUAUGAUUUGAAUCGAAUGGCUUAUGACAGUAUUUGCAUGAAUAGCUGAAUUGGUAUUUGUGUUAAAAUGUAUGAAAUAUGUAUUUAGCCUUGAAAGGCUGUGAAUUACAAUAAUUGUCAUAUCAUGUUAUUGAACUUUAUUGUACGGUGGAUUAUAUAUAUUAAUUAAUCACUGCAGUAGGGGUUUCUAUGGACCAGCCUUCUAGAGGGGCACGGUAAACCCCAUUAUAUUCUUACCUCGAACGAAGAGGCGCGUAGGGUAUCUCUUGGGGUAAAGCUUAGGGUUCACUUCACGUCAAACCACCAUGUGAAGGGGAACUCAGCCAACGUCAAGGAACGGCUGUAUUUUUCUCAAACUAAAAAUAUGUUUUAAGUGUAUACGAAAUUUUAACAGCCUUGACGGGUUCGAGUGUACGCCUCUGAUCAAUGUGUCAUCGAGUACUAUUUGAUAGCAUGAGCCAAGUGUUUAUGGAAGUCAUAAGCCUUAAUGAGAAAUUAAAUGAAAUACAACCGUUUGCAUGGGUUGGGAUAAUUUUCAAAUUGUGAAAUACUUAAAAAUGAUGGGAUAUUUUAAUUGUCUCCUUUUACUUGGCUUUAGCUGAUUUAAAUGAUGUUUAUUUACUCACUGAGAUUUUAUAAUCUCAUCACCCUCUUUUCUCCCCAUUUCAGGCUCAGAGUAGGCUGUAGAUAGCUUAUUCCAUCGAGGGCUUCCAUUGGACUUGCGUCCUCCGAACUGUAGGUUAACCGUUUUCCUCACUUCUAGUCAUUCGUGGGCCCUCCUGAUAUUGUAAAUUAAAUUAAAUUAAUUUAAAUGCAUUGGUUUACUGUGUCACAAUAUGAAUGAAAUUAUUUUGCUUUUAUGUUCUAAAAAGUAUUUACGUAUA
rnacentral:lncRNA from 1 species